GGAAAUGGUACAGGUCCCCGGCGACGCGUGACGGGAGGUGUCUCCGUGGUCUGAAAAUCAUCCACUGGAGAAGGUGGAAGAGGUACAAAAAAAGAGUCGGGAGGUGUCUUGCGUUUCC